rnacentral:tRNA from 1 species
GUCAGUUUGUCCGAGUGGUUAAGGAGUGAGACUUGAAAUCUCAUGGGCUAUGCCCGCGUAGGUUCAAAUCCUGCAGCUGACG